AUACUACCUUGCCUCCUGGAGCUCCAGGUGCACCGGCAUCACCCUUUGGACCCUGGGAGAUUGGCAUUAUAUGAUUAGGCCCAUAUCAGAGUGCAUUUUAUGUAAAUAUAAGCAAAUAUGUAAAUAUAAGCAAAUAUGUAAAUAUAAGCAAAAUACACAUUUGUCAUGUUGGCAUACUGUAUAAUUUUUCAAAUCUUGAAACUAUGAACUCUCUAUUUUAUGGUAAAAUUCAAACUCUAUAUAAUAGUUAUCUUUUAAAUAAUUUGUCUUUGUUUUGAUAAUAUUUCAAAACUAA
rnacentral:lncRNA from 1 species